CCUACGGGAGGCAGCAGUGGGGGAUAUUGCACAAUGGGGGGAACCCUGAUGCAGCGACGCCGCGUGGGUGAAGAAGCGCCUCGGCGCGUAAAGCCCUGUCAGCAGGGAAGAAAAUGACGGUAACUGAAGAAGAAGCCCCGGCUAACUACGUGCCAGCAGCCGAGGUAAUACGGAGGGGGCAAGCGGUAUCCGGAUUUAAUGGGUGUAAAGGGGGCGCAGACGGCGGUGCAAGCCUGGAGUGAAAGCACGGGGCCCAACCCGGGGACUGCACUUGGAACUGCGUGGCUGGAGGGCAGGAGGGGAUGGCGGAAUUCCUGGUGUAGCGGUGAAAUGCGUAGAUAUCAGGAGGAACACCGGUGGCGAAGGCGGCCUGCUGGACUGCAACUGACGUUGAGGCCCGAAAGCGUGGGGAGCAAACAGGAUUAGAUACCCUGGUAGUC
rnacentral:rRNA from 1 species